rnacentral:rRNA from 1 species
CAGCCGCCGCGGUAAUACGAAGGGUGCAAGCGUUAAUCGGAAUUACUGGGCGUAAAGCGUGCGUAGGCGGUGAGUUAAGUCUGCUGUGAAAUCCCCGGGCUCAACCUGGGAAUGGCAGUGGAUACUGGCUCGCUAGAGUGUGUCAGAGGAUGGUGGAAUUCCCGGUGUAGCGGUGAAAUGCGUGGAGAUCGGGAGGAACAUCAGUGGCGAAGGCGGCCAUCUGGGACAACACUGACGCUGAGGCACGAAAGCGUGGGGAGCAAACAGGAUUAGAUACCCGCGUAGUCCCUGUCUCUUAUAC